rnacentral:rRNA from 1 species
ACCCGCUGAACUUAAGCAUAUCAAUAAGCGGAGGAAAAGAAACCAACAGGGAUUGCCCUAGUAACGGCGAGUGAAGCGGCAACAGCUCAAAUUUGAAAUCUGGCGUCUUUGGCGUCCGAGUUGUAAUUUGCAGAGGGCGCUUUGGCAUUGGCAGCGGUCCAAGUUCCUUGGAACAGGACGUCACAGAGGGUGAGAAUCCCGUACGUGGUCGCUAGCCUUUACCGUGUAAAGCCCCUUCGACGAGUCGAGUUGUUUGGGAAUGCAGCUCUAAAUGGGAGGUAAAUUUCUUCUAAAGCUAAAUACUGGCCAGAGACCGAUAGCGCACAAGUAGAGUGAUCGAAAGAUGAAAAGCACUUUGGAAAGAGAGUUAAAAAGCACGUGAAAUUGUUGAAAGGGAAGCGCUUGCAGCCAGACUUGCCUGUAGUUGCUCAUCCGGGUUUUUACCCGGUGCACUCUUCUAUAGGCAGGCCAGCAUCAGUUUGGGCGGUUGGAUAAAGGUCUCUGUCAUGUACCUCUCUUCGGGGAGAACUUAUAGGGGAGACGACAUGUAACCAGCCCGGACUGAGGUCCGCGCAUCUGCUAGGAUGCUGGCGUAAUGGCUGU